UCACUGUUGGAAGCCAAUUGACUGCCACAAGUUCAUAGUCGAAACUAGGAGAGUUUAAAUCUCUUCAAUACUAUUCUGAUGAUGCUGAGAUCACCUUCAGAAGCCAAAAGAUGGUACCUAAGUCAUUGUUGGAAAAGAAUUUAUGGAAGGCUUCCACAUUAUGCAAUCAAAACUAAGAUAGACUCCAUCAUAUGAGUGUUGUCCCUACAA
rnacentral:lncRNA from 1 species